ACAUGUGAAAAAGAAAGAAUCAAACAGUGCUGGCAGUGAGAGAACUACUUGUUUCCGAGCUGCGAGGCUCUUCAGAGAGUCAGAGCCUCACAUCUUAGAGAGCACUGCAGGCGUCUGCCAGCAAGAGCGUAAACAAGUCAGGAGGCAAGGGGAGCUCAGCUGUUGGGGCUCAUUCCAGGAAGCUGGCGAUGGCGGCACUGUGCUUUCUGCUGCCCCAGAAGCCCCUGUGCUCUGGGCCGCGCUGCUCCGUCUCUGAGAAUUAUGGAGAGCCUGGAGCCUACCCUGAGGAGCACAGACCACCCUCAGAGUAGAGCGCUGAUCCAUCACAGGGCAUGCUCAAAGGCCAAUACAAAGAAGUUGGUUUACCAAAAUCUCACUCCUUCAGACUGAAGAAAGAAAGCGGAGCAGCAAGAGGAAACUCAUGGUGAACACAUGGAGAACAUAGAAAUUCAACACAGAGAGCUGUGCCAGGAAUUCCAAACACACAACCCUGAAGGACAAACGAUCCUAGAGGGCCCAUUUUGUUCCUGCCCUUGGUAAACAUGGGGGCGGCAUGCCCAAAGUCACAUGUGACUGGGGGGGACUUCCGUCGCCUUUCGCCAAGAAGACAGCCACAGUGGCCCACUCUGGCGAGGAUGAGCAUGUGGGCUGUCCCAGCCCCCUAACAGCCCCCUGAAUGGCUUUGCAGCUUCAGAGCUCUUUAAUGGAUGGUUCCACAGCAGAACUCUCACAGCAGAUUAAAGCCUUGUGUAAAAACUACUGACCACUAGCUUCGCAGAGGGGAAGAGAGAAAAAAGCAGAAUGGAAAGGAAAAACUGAAAUAAAAACAGCCUCAUAUCUCAGUUCAUUAAUCUAGCUACAGUAGUCAUCUCACGUCUUGUUAAGAUUCUGAUUUCAAACUGAUUAU